CUCCUCUCUCUCUCAUAUUCUUCUUCUCCACACAGCAUACCUCCCUCUCUCUCAUAGAAGUCGUGUUUCAUGUUAGGGUGAACGAGAAUAGCAUAUGUGAGACGAAAUUGCCUGAAGACCGGGUUAUUGAAGAUGCAGCACAAUUGUUGAUUUUGGGCGAUUAGCGAGUGUGUUCAUCUGUGGAAGACGACCAAUCGGUUUGUUUCGGAUCUGGUCUUGCAGUAUGAUGGUAAUAGUUGUAUAUGUUUGUAUCGGUAAUUUGGUACGGGUGAGGGAGGAAAGAAGCUGAUUAAGUCGCUGUUCAAUUUCAUAAAUACAAUUUCAUUAUUAUUUUUCUAUUCACAACCCUCUCCGCUCUUCUAUAUCAUCAUCAGCUAGCAAUCUACAAUCUGCAAUGGCAGUUCAAGCUCAGUACCCUUCCAAUAUUCUAUUCCUAAACAGAAACGCACAAGAAGGGCAUGAUUGUUCUUUACAAGCGCAACAAGGAUUGUACCUUGAUCAAUCUCACAUGCUAUUCAACAAUGGUCUAGGAGGCAAUAGUACUAAUCAGCACAAGAGAGGAAGAGAAGCUUCAGUCGCCACUGAAAUCACUCCUUCAAUGAUUCCCUUCUCUUUGCAACAGUUCCAACCUCUCUCAGCUCUACAAUCACAAUCACCCCAAUGUCGUCUCCACCGGACUCGCUUCUAAACGGAGAAGGUUGGAGGCCGGAAAAGCGGAAGAAGAUGUUGUGAUUAAAACCGCCUGUUAUCCAAAGGAUUUCAAAUUAACUUGUGAAGCCCUGUCAAGUAGUAAGAUGACUCGUCGUUAACUGUUGGAAAGUGAUAAGGAUGACUCUGUUUUGGUAUUGGCGGUGGAAGGAAGGAAAGAUAGAAAGAGAACAAAAAAAAAAAAAGAAGAAGAAGAAGAGAACAGAAAGAAAGAGGGGGGAGUUUGAUGGAAGGAAAAGAAACAGAGAGGGGGGAGAAGAGGAGAAGAAAAGAAAGAGAGAAAGAGAGA